rnacentral:tRNA from 1 species
GCUUCCUUAGCUCAGUUGGAUAGAGCGAUCCCCUCCUAAGGGAUAGGUCACAGGUUCGAGUCCUGUAGGGAGCGCCA